CUGCCCGAAAGAGCAUAUUCUUGUUUAUUGGCCAAGCUGUCACUAUGUAAUGGAUAUUAGAUUCUGACUUGCACAGGUAACUUCC
ensembl:snoRNA